rnacentral:rRNA from 1 species
UACGAAGGGGGCUAGCGUUGUUCGGAAUCACUGGGCGUAAAGCGCACGUAGGCGGAUUUGUUAGUCAGGGGUGAAAUCCCGGGGCUCAACCUCGGAACUGCUUUUGAUACUGCAAGUCUCGAGUCCGAGAGAGGUGAGUGGAAUUCCUAGUGUAGAGGUGAAAUUCGUAGAUAUUAGGAAGAACACCAGUGGCGAAGGCGGCUGACUGGCUCGGUACUGACGCUGAGGUGCGAAAGCGUGGGGAGCAAACAGG